GCCCGUCUAGCUCAACCGGCAGAGCACUUCACUUGUAAUGAAGGGGUUGGGGGUUCGAGUCCCCCGGCGGGCU
rnacentral:tRNA from 1 species